rnacentral:rRNA from 1 species
UACGUAGGGUGCAAGCGUUGUCCGGAAUUAUUGGGCGUAAAGAGCUCGUAGGCGGUCUGUUGCGUCGGGAGUGAAAACUUACAGCUUAACUGUGAGCGUGCUUUCGAUACGGGCAGACUUGAGGCAUUCAGGGGAGAACGGAAUUCCUGGUGUAGCGGUGAAAUGCGUAGAUAUCGGGAGGAACACCAGUGGCGAAGGCGGCAUCCUGGCCCUGUCCUGACGCUGAGGCGCGAGAGCGUGGGGGAGCAAACCGG